rnacentral:rRNA from 1 species
AGUCGAGGGGCAGCGCGGGAUAGCGAUAUCCUGGCGGCGACCGGCGGAAGGGUGCGUAACGCGUGAGCGACAUGCCCGUUGCCCGGGGACAACCGGUGGAAACGCCGACUAAUCCCCGAUGGGAUACGAUGCUUCAUGGCAUUGUAUUGAAAGUUACGGCGGCGACGGAUUGGCUCGCGUCCGAUUAGCUUGUUGGCGGGGUAACGGCCCACCAAGGCUACGAUCGGUAGGGGUUCUGAGAGGAAGGCCCCCCACAAUGGGACUGAGACACGGCCCAUACUCCUACGGGAGGCAGCAGUGAGGAAUAUUGGUCAAUGGGCGGAAGCCUGAACCAGCCAUGCCGCGUGCGGGAAGGAGGCCCUAUGGGCUGUGAACCGCUUUUGCCUGGGGGCAAUAAGGGCGUCGCGCACGUCCGAUGAGAGUACCAGGCGAAUAAGCAUCGGCUAACUCCGUGCCAGCAGCCGCGGUAAUACGGGGGAUGCGAGCGUUAUCCGGAUUCAUUGGGUUUAAAGGGUGCGUAGGCUGUGCGUCAAGUCGGGGGUGAAAUUCCGGUGCUCAACACCGGGGCUGCCCUUGAUACUGUCGCGCUGGAGUGCGGAUGCCGCCGGAGGAAUGAGUGGUGUAGCGGUGAAAUGCUUAGAUAUCACUCAGA